rfam:Oryza rufipogon genomic scaffold, chr01
AAUAAGCACAGUCAUAAGUUUUUUUUUUCAAUUUUAAUCGUCCGUCUUAUUAAAAAAAAUUUAAUUAGUAUUUUUAUUGCUAUUAGCUUAUAAAAUAUGAAUAGUACUUUGUGCGUGACUUAUAUUUUUUUAUUUUUUUUUUAAAAAUAAAUAAGACGGACGAUUAAAAUUGUACACGGAAACUCAUCGUAGUGAUUAUU